GACGAACGCUGGCGGCGUGCUUAACACAUGCAAGUCGAACGAUGAAGCCUUAGCUUGCUUUGGUGGAUUAGUGGCGAACGGGUGAGUAACACGUGAGCAACGUGCCCAGGACUCUGGAAUAACCGCGGGAAACCGUGGCUAAUACCGGAUAGGUGCCGAGGCCGCAUGGUCUUCGGUUGGAAAGUUUUUGCGGUUCUGGAUCGGCUCACGGCCUAUCAGCUUGUUGGUGGGGUAAUGGCCUACCAAGGCGACGACGGGUAGCCGGCCUGAGAGGGUGACCGGCCACACUGGGACUGAGACACGGCCCAGACUCCUACGGGAGGCUGCAGUGGGGAAUAUUGCACAAUGGGCGCAAGCCUGAUGCAGCAACGCCGCGUGGGGGAUGACGGCCUUCGGGUUGUAAACCUCUUUUAGUAGGGAAGAAGCGCAAGUGACGGUACCUGCAGAAAAAGCACCGGCUAACUACGUG
rnacentral:rRNA from 1 species